CACUAUCCAUGGGCAACACUGCCGCAGGCCAGUGAGGUGAAGUGCCCACCCUCGGCACUGGAACAGGCUCUCCACACAGGCCCCAGGGACAACAGUACUCAGCUGCUGCUGAGCUGGCACC